rnacentral:rRNA from 1 species
CAGCCGCCGCGGGAAAACGGAGGGGGCUAGCGUUGUUCGGAAUUACUGGGCGUAAAGCGCACGUAGGCGGCUUGGUAAGUUAGAUGUGAAAGCCUGGAGCUCAACUCCAGAAUUGCCUUUAAGACUGCCGAGCUAGCAGGUGAGAGAGGUAAGUGGAAUUCCGAGUGUAGAGGUGAAAUUCGCAGAUAUUCGGAAGAACACCAGUGGCGAAGGCGGCCAUCUGGGACAACACUGACGCUGAGGCACGAAAGCGUGGGGAGCAAACAGGAUUAGAUACCCCAGUAGUCCCUGUCUCUUAUAC